AGUGAACGCUGGCGGUAGGCCUAACACAUGCAAGUCGAACGGCAGCACAGAGGAGCUUGCUCCUUGGGUGGCGAGUGGCGGACGGGUGAGGAAUACAUCGGAAUCUACUCUGUCGUGGGGGAUAACGUAGGGAAACUUACGCUAAUACCGCAUACGACCUACGGGUGAAAGCAGGGGAUCUUCGGACCUUGCGCGAUUGAAUGAGCCGAUGUCGGAUUAGCUAGUUGGCGGGGUAAAGGCCCACCAAGGCGACGAUCCGUAGCUGGUCUGAGAGGAUGAUCAGCCACACCGGAACUGAGACACGGUCCAGACUCCUACGGGAGGAAGCAGUGGGGAAUAUUGGACAAUGGGCGCAAGCCUGAUCCAGCCAUACCGCGUGGGUGAGGAAGGCCUUCGGGUUGUAAAGCCCUUUUGUUGGGAAAGAAAUCCAGCCGGCUAAUACCUGGUUGGGAUGACGGUACCCAAAGAAUAAGCACCGGCUAACUUCGUGCCAGCAGCCGCGGUAACAC
rnacentral:rRNA from 1 species